AGUGAACGCUGGCGGUAGGCCUAACACAUGCAAGUCGAACGGCAGCACAGUAAGAGCUUGCUCUUACGGGUGGCGAGUGGCGGACGGGUGAGGAAUACAUCGGAAUCUAGUUUUUCGUGGGGGAUAACGUGGGGAAACUUACGCUAAUACCGCAUACGACCUACGGGUGAAAGCAGGGGAUCUUCGGACCUUGCGCGAUUGAAUGAGCCGAUGUCGGAUUAGCUAGUUGGCGGGGUAAGGGCCCACCAAGGCGACGAUCCGUAGCUGGUCUGAGAGGAUGAUCAGCCACACUGGAACUGAGACACGGUCCAGACUCCUACGGGAGGCAGCAGUGGGGAAUAUUGGACAAUGGGCGCAAGCCUGAUCCAGCCAUACCGCGUGGGUGAAGAAGGCCUUCGGGUUGUAAAGCCCUUUUGUUGGGAAAGAAAAGCAGCAGGUUAAUACCCCGCUGUUCUGACGGUACCCAAAGAAUAAGCACCGGCUAACUUCGUG
rnacentral:rRNA from 1 species